rnacentral:rRNA from 1 species
CGGGGGGGAAGGCCGAAAAUUUCAAAUGCUGGCAACACGAUAAGGGAACCUCGAGUGCCAGGUUACAAAUCUGGCUGUCGUGAUGCCUAAAAAGCAUUAUAUAGCAAGGGCCGGGCAAGACCGGUGCCAGCCGCCGCGGUAACACCGGCGGCUCGAGUGGUAACCGUUAUUAUUGGGUCUAAAGGGUCUGUAGCCGGCCGGAUAAGUCUCUUGAGAAAUCUGGCAGCUUAACUGUCAGGCUUUCAGGAGAUACUGUCUGGCUUGAGGCCGGGAGAGGUGAGAGGUACUUCAGGGGUAGGAGUGAAAUCUUGUAAUCCUUGAAGGACCACCAGUGGCGAAGGCGUCCCACCAGAACGGACCUGACGGCAAGGGACGAAAGCUAGGGGCACGAACCGGAUUAGAUACCCGGGUAGUCCUAGCCGUAAACGAUACUCGCUAGGUGUCGGCCACGGUGCGACCGUUGUCGGUGCCGUAGGGAAGCCGUGAAGCGAGCCACCUGGGAAGUACGGCCGCAAGGCUGAAACUUAAAGGAAUUGGCGGGGGAGCACCACAACGGGUGGAGCUUGCGGUUUAAUUGGAUUCAACGCCGGAAAUCUUACCGGGACCGACAGCAAUAUGAAGGCCAAGCUGAAGACUUUGCCGGAUUAGCUGAGAGGUGGUGCAUGGCCGUCGUCAGUUCGUACUGUGAAGCAUCCUGUUAAGUCAGGCAACGAGCGAGACCCACGCCCACAGUUGCCAGCGUACUCUCCGGAGUGACGGGUACACUGUGGGGACCGCCACUGCUAAAGCGGAGGAAGGAAUGGGCAACGGUAGGUCAGUAUGCCCCGAAUAUCCCGGGCUACACGCGAGCUACAAUGGUUGGUACAAUGGGUAUCUACCCCGAGAGGGGACGGAAAUCUCCUAAAACCAAUCUUAGUUCGGAUUGAGGGCUGCAACUCGCCCUCAUGAAGCUGGAAUCCGUAGUAAUCGCGUUUCAACAGAACGCGGUGAAUACGUCCCUGCUCCUUGUACACACCGCCCGUCA